GUUUUGUUAGAAAGAAGAACCUUCAAUAAAUAUUGUGUAAUAUAUCUUUCAGAUUUCAAAAAUAUUUAGUCUGUGGUUCUUUUUGAAAUAAAGAGGAUGAUCAGCUACUUCCAGUGUCAACUGAUAGCUCUAAUUUCCAUAACUUAAAAAUAAUAUAUAUAUAAAAGGUACCUUUUAUUUCCCUUGGAAAUAAGGGAGAUAAUUGUGUACUUUCAGUCUACAAAAUGCCACUUUUGGUUCAUAUCACACUCACUUUUUAAAAACA
rnacentral:lncRNA from 1 species